rnacentral:rRNA from 1 species
AUUGAACGCUAGCGGGAUGCUUUACACAUGCAAGUCGAACGAGUGGCGGACGGGUGAGUAAUAUAGCGGAACGUGCCCAGUAGGGGGGGAUAACUACUCGAAAGAGUCGCUAAUAGCACAUACUAUUGGAGCGGCCGAUAUGGGAUUAGCUAGUUGGUGGGGUAAAGGCUCACCAAGGCAACGAUCCGUAGCUGGUCUGAGAGGACGACCAGCCACACUGGGACUGAGACACGGCCCAGACUCCUACGGGAGGCAGCAGUGGGGAAUAUUGGACAAUGGGGGAAAGCCUGAUGCAGCCAUCCCGCGUGUAUGAGAAGGCCUUCGGGUUGUAAAGUACUUUUGGCAGAGAGGCGGUAUCUGCAGAAUAAGCACCGGCUAACUACGUGCCAGCAGCCGCGGUAAUAC